rnacentral:rRNA from 1 species
UACGCAGGGGGCUAGCGUUGCUCGGAAUCACUGGGCGUAAAGCGCACGUAGGCGGCUUGCUAAGUCAGGGGUGAAAUCCUGGAGCUCAACUCCAGAACUGCCUUUGAUACUGGCGAUCUUGAGUCCGGGAGAGGUGAGUGGAACUGCGAGUGUAGAGGUGAAAUUCGUAGAUAUUCGCAAGAACACCAGUGGCGAAGGCGGCUCACUGGUCCGGUACUGACGCUGAGGUGCGAAAGCGUGGGGAGCAAACAGG